rfam:Tupaia chinensis contig173121, whole genome shotgun sequence.
CCAAAGGCUCUUUUCAGAGCCACCUCCAUGGUCCACGUGGAAGAG